CAAACAGAUGAUCCUCCUGCUCUGUCUCCUGAGCAGCUGGAAUUACUAGUGCAGUAUCAACAGGCACUUAAAUCACUUUAGUGGCUGCUCUUUGCUGAGAAGCUUAUUUUCUCCACAAAUAAAGAGCUGAAAAGUCCCUUCUGCUCUGGAGCAGAUCGGGCCAAGGAAGAACAGACGGGAAGACCUAGAAUUAAAUCCAUAUUCAGGAAGGAAAGCGCUGUUCUCAGCAGAAAUCCCAACAGUAGCCACUGUUAAUUAACGAAGACAACAGUCAGCAUAGGCGUCUUGAGCCUCAGCCAGUCACAGACAGCCUCGCUCCAGUAACUACGCUCCAGAGCCAGAGUCAAAAAAGACAGCCAAUCAGGGAAGACAGCCGGUAAGCGAGGGCCUCGGGUGACGUCAAAGGCAGCCUUCAGCUGAUGAGCUAACACAGCUGAAAGUCCUGAGAUGCCUCCACACUUCCUCUUCUGAAAGCCCGCCAGGCUCUGAACGCCAAGUUCCCAAAAGCCUCAUAAAACCUGUUCUGGGCUGCUGAGGAGACAUUGUGAACAUGCGCAGAUGUCUUUUUCUGGCAAACAGGAAGUUCUUUUUUUCCUUCAGAUGCCAAGUUCAGUUUUAUGAAAUCUUAACCGCUGGAUACCUCCACCCUUCCGCCAUCCUUGUUUAUGGUUUACUGUGAGUUCAGACUUGCAGAGUAUUAUUCUCUAACACUGGUGGCUGGCCUCGAACUCACUGUCUACAUGUUGGCUAGCCUUGAAGUCACAGUGACACUGCUUCCCAAGUAUACCACCAGCUUGGUGCAAACCUUUUCUUCCCCUUUCUGUUGGGAGCUGUGUGACCUUGUUUUGGACCAGUACAUGAGAGCUUGUCCAGUGGAUCUUCAGAUGAGGCAAAAGACCACAAGGGUAGUCUCACUUGGCAAGGACCAGUGGACUUUGGGACAGCGUAGAAUACUGCUGGGACUGUGUGGCCUGCAUGCUCUCGUCUCUUCUCUUGUGUAAUAUUGAUGAUUGUCUUGGUGUUUUUACUGUCAUUUUGUCAAUCAUGCAUAGGACAGAUGUGAUCAUUCUUGGAAACACCACUUUUCCUCAAAUAUUUUCCCCUAAAAUUCUUGGGAGCUGAUGCUUUUCAGGUCUCUUGUCUGGGGUUGCCAGCUUUCACUCCAGACCUUAGGAGCUGUUCUGAUUCAGUGCUGACAGGAUCGGAGGCAGAUUACCCCUAUUUCUCUAAAUAUGCUUUGAACAGGAUUGUUGAUCUUGAAAAUGUGCGCUUAUGUCAAUCACCUUUUAGUUUUGUAAAGACAGAAUGUACCUGGCUCGAUAUUUGACCAAGCCAGCAAAAUGAUAAGUGUUGUUUUGGAUUAAAGAUGUUUUGAUGUAGAAGUUGAGAAAAAACAUUUGACAUAUUUGGUUUUGCUGGAGGCUAAUGUUUGAGGAUGGC
rnacentral:lncRNA from 1 species